UCACCCCUCAAGCCCCGUGCUUGGUGUUGGACGGUUGGUCGAGGUCCCCUCGACCCCUCCUAAAGACAAUGACGGCGGCCUGUGGUUCCCCCGGUACAAUGAGCUUCUCACCGAGCACGUACCGGACGAGGGCGCCCAGGACCCGGUCUUCUCCUCUCGCGAGGAAAUAUUUUUAA
rnacentral:misc_RNA from 1 species